rnacentral:rRNA from 1 species
AUACGUAGGGGGCGAGCGUUGUCCGGAUUUAUUGGGCGUAAAGGGUGCGUAGGCGGCCUUGUAAGUCAGAUGUGAAAGAUCAUGGCUUAACUGUGGUAAGCAUUUGAAACUGCAGGGCUUGAGUACAGGAGAGGAGAGUGGAAUUCCUAGUGUAGCGGUGAAAUGCGUAGAUAUUAGGAGGAAUACCAGUGGCGAAGGCGACUCUCUGGACUGAUACUGACGCUGAGGCACGAAAGCGUGGGGAGCAAACAGGAUUAGAUACCCUGGUAGUCCAUGCUAUAAACGAUGAGUGCUAGGUGGCGGGGGUCAAACCUCGGUGCCGCCGUUAACACAUUAAGCACUCCGCCUGGGGAGUACGGCCGCAAGGCUGAAACUCAAAUGAAUUGACGGGG